rnacentral:rRNA from 1 species
AUUGAACGCUGGCGGCAGGCCUAAUACAUGCAAGUCGAACGGUGUCUUCGGACAUAGUGGCGCACGGGUGCGUAACACGUAUGCAACCUACCUUACAUUGGGGGAUAGCCUUUCGAAAGGGAGAUUAAUACCGCAUAAGACAGUAGCUGGGCAUCCAGCAGCUGUUAAAGAUUUAUCGAUGUAAGCUGGGCAUGCGUCCAAUUAGCUAGUUGGUGAGGUAACGGCUCACCAAGGCAAUGAUUGGUAGGGGAACUGAGAGGUCAAUCCCCCACACUGGCAGUGGGAGACGGGCCAGACUCCGACGGGAGGCAGCAGUAGGGAAUAUUGGGCAAUGGACGCAAGUCUGACCCAGCCAUGCCGCGUGCAGGAUGAAGGCGUUAUGCGUUGUAAACUGCUUUUAUACAGGAAGAAACGACUCUUGCGAGAGGCAUUGACGGUACUGUAUGAAUAAGCACCGGCUAACUCCGUGCCAGCAGCCGCCGUAACAC